UACGUAGGUGGCAAGCGUUGUCGGGAAUUAUUGGGCGUAAAGCGCGCGCAGGCGGUCCUUUAAGUCUGAUGUGAAAGCCCACGGCUCAACCGUGGAGGGUCAUUGGAAACUGGAGGACUUGAGUACAGAAGAGGAAAGCGGAAUUCCACGUGUAGCGGUGAAAUGCGUAGAGAUGUGGAGGAACACCAGUGGCGAAGGCGGCUUUCUGGUCUGUAACUGACGCUGAGGCGCGAAAGCGUGGGGAGCAAACAGA
rnacentral:rRNA from 1 species